AGUGUUCAGGAAGAUCCUGUAUGGCAAGAUGUUUUGGAAAUAACUGUACAGCUCUUUGCGAUGGUAUUGAUUGUAUACAUCACUCGACGGACUCAGAUCAUCACCGGAUGAUGACCAUAUACAUGCCAGCUGUGAAAAACAAUGUAAUUAGUUUAGAAUUCAAUGUUGG